ACGCGUAACCCUCACUACCUUCGUUAGCUGCUUUCCCCUUCUUCACGCCACUCAUCACCCCCAAAUCAAAGAAGACUCUGCACUCACCACUCCAAAUCAGAGAAGACUCCACCAUCACCACUCACCACUCUAGGAAGACUUUGCACUCACUCAUCUACUCACGACGCUGUCACUCGUCUUCACCGUACUGCCGCUUCUCUUUGCUGUGGCUCACAUCAAGAUGACGCUGCGCUCAACUGAAAGCCUCUCUUCAUUCGCUCACCAUCAUCGAGAAGGUAUGCGUCCACCUUCAUUUGAUUUCUGAAAUUUCAGAGGGUAGAGUUCCGAUUUUAGGGUUUCAAUUUGGGGGUUUCAAUUUUAGGGUAGAGUUUCUGAACUCAUGAAUUGAUGAACUGCGGCGUAGGAGAACUCAUUCUUGUAGAAAAAGUGUUGGGGAAGCUGGUGGAGCCUGUAUUGGUGUUUUGCAUCUACUCAAAAAAGCAACAAGCGGAUUGGUCAUGCUAUCCUUGUUCCUGAACCUAUUGCACUAGCAGGUCCAGCUGCUACUGUGCCACCAAAUCCUUCAACAGAUUAGUGCUAAUCAGUGCCACUGCUUAUCGAAACUACGCAACACUACCGCAGGUCAGAUAUUGGCAAUAGAUUCUUCUGUUUUUUAUUUAUUUGGUCCAAUUUAUCAAAACCUUGCAUGUUUUAAUGUCACCCUAUUUUGCUAUACUCCUCUAAUUUUCUUAGUGCCAACUGCUCUAUCUACACAUCAUGUAUAAUUGUGAAACAGAUUUGCAUAAUCUCAUUGUCAAGAACAAAACACAUAACUCAAGUUGUUGCAGCUGGGCUCAAUCUUCCUUUUGAAGAAAGCCCCCAGUGUAACAUUAGCCACUCAGGUCUAAUUUCUGCAAGGAAGGCUGUUUAAUUUCAUUGCCUGCUUCAUAAUGGUUUUAGCCCUCAAUUAUAAUCUUUCUUUUAUUCUCUUUCACGUACGUCUGUUUUGAUUAAUCAGUUGACACUUGAAGUCCAUUUUACUGUGUAGGUAGUGGAAGAUCUCUGUGAGCGCUAUUUUGGUCCUUCAUUUGAACUUCUUUCACAUGAUAAGGUAAGUGAGAUGUUUAACAGCACUUGAAAUUAAGAUGAUUGGCAUGAUUUUGUGAAUUUAGCAUUCAUCUUAAAUGAGAAUAAUAAAAAACCAACAAGCUGAAAAGAGAAAAAGUAAGUGAUCAAUCAAAUAGAUACUGUGGUAUUGUAUCUUGUUUAUCUGAGAUAUCAAAUCUGCUAAAUCAAAGUGCUUACUACUUUUGAUAGGUAACGAGCUAUUAGAAUGCUUUUAGUUUUGUUCAAGGUUCCUGGGCUUCAGAGAGGUUAGGGGAGAUUGCUCAGGAUUCAAAUUAUACAAAAGUGUUAUGGGAUAUGCACAACUUGUUAUAGGUCCUGCUGGCAGUGACAAGCAGCCCCGCUCGGAAUGAACACUAAUACAAUUGUUAAGGCCAAGAGUUUUCUUGAUGGUGAAGAUCAGCAUGAAAAAGAUGUGUUUGAGAAGAAUCUGAAGGCGCUUCAGAACAUUUUUUAGUCAUUAUGCCAAGAUUAGAAUAUCAACGAUUUUCUGUUUGUUAAGCUCUUUUCGGAUACAGAGUGCAAACUUUGCAUUUUAAUUGAUAUGUGAUACAAGUUUCAUGUGA